AACAACUAUGACCGGGCUGUCAUCAAUACCGUUCCUUAUGAUGUCGUCCAUCGCUGGUAUACAGCACACCGGACUCUAACGAUAGAGUUGAGGAGACCUGAGAAUGAGUUUUGGGUCAAACUAAAGCCUGGCAGGGUCCUAUUUAUAGACAACUGGCGUGUCCUACAUGGCAGGGAAUGCUUCACUGGCUACCGCCAACUCUGUGGCUGCUAUUUAACAAGAGAUGAUGUAUUAAACACUGCUCGCCUCUUGGGGCUUCAGGCUUAAAAUUGACAGCAUCUGGAUUAUGAAUACACCUGGCACCCUGGCUACCAGAAUUUCAUAUGGGCAGAAUAAUAUUGUGUCAAACUCUA